rnacentral:rRNA from 1 species
AUUGAACGCUGGCGGCAGGCCUAACACAUGCAAGUCGAGCGAGCGGCGGACGGGUGAGUAAUGUAUGGGGACUGCCCGAUAGAGGGGGAUAACUACUGGAAACGGUUGCUAAUACCGCAUACUAUCGGAUAACCCAUAUGCGAGUAGCUAGUAGGUGGGGUAAUGGCUCACCUAGGCGACGAUCCCUAGCUGGUCUGCGAGGAUGAUCGGCCACACGGGGACUGAGACACGGCCCAGACUCCUACGGAGGCAGCAGUGGGGAAUAUUGCACAAUGGGCGAAAGCCUGAUGCAGCAAUGCCGCGUGUAUGAAGAAGGCCCUAGGGUUGUAAAGUACUGUCAGUCGGGAGGCGUUACCGACAGAGGAAGCACCGGCUAACUCCGUGCCAGCAGCCGCGGUAAUAC